CAACAGGGAUUGCCCUAGUAACGGCGAGUGAAGCGGCAACAGCUCAAAUUUGAAAUCUGGCUCUUUCAGAGUCCGAGUUGUAAUUUGCAGAGGGCGCUUUGGCUUUGGCAGCGGUCCAAGUUCCUUGGAACAGGACGUCACAGAGGGUGAGAAUCCCGUACGUGGUCGCUAGCUAUUGCCGUGUAAAGCCCCUUCGACGAGUCGAGUUGUUUGGGAAUGCAGCUCUAAAUGGGAGGUAAAUUUCUUCUAAAGCUAAAUAUUGGCCAGAGACCGAUAGCGCACAAGUAGAGUGAUCGAAAGAUGAAAAGCACUUUGGAAAGAGAGUCAAACAGCACGUGAAAUUGUUGAAAGGGAAGCGCUUGCAGCCAGACUUGCUUGCAGUUGCUCAUCCGGGCUUUUGCCCGGUGCACUCUUCUGCAGGCAGGCCAGCAUCAGUUUGGGCGGUGGGAUAAAGGUCUCUGACACGUUCCUUCCUUCGGGUUGGCCAUAUAGGGGAGACGUCAUACCACCAGCCUGGACUGAGGUCCGCGCAUCUGCUAGGAUGCUGGCGUAAUGGCUGUAAGCGGCCCGUCUUGAAACACGGACCAAGGAGUCUAACAUCUAUGCGAGUGUUUGGGUGUCAAGCCCGAGCGCGUAAUGAAAGUGAACGGAGGUGGGAACCCGCAAGGGUGCACCAUCGACCGAUCCUGAAGUUUACGGAAGGAUUUGAGUAAGAGCAUGGCUGUUGGGACCCGAAAGAUGGUGAACUAUGCUUGAAUAGGGUGAAGCCAGAGGAAACUCUGGUGGAGGCUCGCAGCGGUUCUGACGUGCAAAUCGAUCGUCAAAUUUGGGCAUAGGGGCGAAAGACUAAUCGAACUAUCUAGUAGCUGGUUCCUGCCGA
rnacentral:rRNA from 1 species